CCUACGGGAGGCAGCAGUGAGGAAUAUUGGUCAAUGGACGAGAGUCUGAACCAGCCAAGUAGCGUGAAGGAUGACUGCCCUAUGGGUUGUAAACUUCUUUUAUAUGGGAAUAAAGUGUUCCACGUGUGGGAUUUUGUAUGUACCAUAUGAAUAAGGAUCGGCUAACUCCGUGCCAGCAGCCGCGGUAAUACGGAGGAUCCGAGCGUUAUCCGGAUUUAUUGGGUUUAAAGGGAGCGUAGGUGGAUUGUUAAGUCAGUUGUGAAAGUUUGCGGCUCAACCGUAAAAUUGCAGUUGAAACUGGCAGUCUUGAGUACAGGAGAGGUGGGCGGAAGUCGUGGUGUAGCGGUGAAAUGCUUAGAUAUCACGAAGAACUCCGAUGGCGAAGGCAGUUCACUGGACUGCAACUGACACUGAGGCUCGAAAGUGUGGGUAUCAAACAGGAUUAGAUACCCCUGUAGUC
rnacentral:rRNA from 1 species